rnacentral:lncRNA from 1 species
UGCCGAUGAGUGGUUCCUGCUUUCCUCUUCUACCUUCAUCAUCAGGUUGCAGCAUUGCUGUGUCACUGAGGUGCUCCUGUCCCACUUUUGUAGCUUCGCCAUCAGGUUGCAGCAUUGCAGUGUUACCGGCCGGUUCAUGUUCGAAUGGCCAAGCGUCUUCAUCAGGUUGCAGCAUUGCUGUGUCACUGAGGUGCUCCUGUCCUACUUUUGUAGCUUCGCCAUCAGGUUGCAGCAUUGCAGUGUUACCGGACGGUUCAUGUUCGAAUGGCAAAGCGUCUUCAUCAGGUUGCAGCAUUGCAGUGUCACUGGCUGGUUCAUGUUCGAAUGACCAAGCUUCUUCAUCAG